GAUGAACGCUGGCGGCGUGCCUAAUACAUGCAAGUCGAGCGGUAACACUUCGGGUGACGAGCGGCGGACGGCUGAGUAACGCGUAGGAACGUACCCCAAACUGAGGGAUAAGCACCAGAAAUGGUGUCUAAUACCGCAUAUGGUCUUCGGAUUAGAGCUUCGGCGGUUUGGGAACGGCCUGCGUAUGAUUAGCUUGUUGGUGAGGUAAAAGCUCACCAAGGCGACGAUCAUUAGCUGGUCUGAGAGGAUGAUCAGCCAGACUGGGACUGAGACACGGCCCAGACUCCUACGGGAGGCAGCAGUAGGGAAUCUUCCACAAUGGGCGAAAGCCUGAUGGAGCAACGCCGCGUGCAGGAUGAAAGCCUUCGGGUCGUAAACUGCUUUUAUAUGCGAAGACUUCGACGGUAGCAUAUGAAUAAGGAUCGGCUAACUCCGUGCCAGCAGCCGCGGUCAUACGGAGGAUCCAAGCGUUAUCCGGAAUUACG
rnacentral:rRNA from 1 species